CAGGCCUCAGCCUCCAGCCGAGCGGAGACCUCAGUGGCCUCCCGAUGGCAUUGCCCUCCAGGCCGGCUCCUGGCCGCCUGUCGGCUCCUGGUGAGAUUGCACAAGAGGGACUUCACGGCCGCCAGGAACAGCCACGGCCGCCAGGGAACAGGGUCUGGGGCAGAGAAAAAGCAGGAACCUGACCAGCAGGUGGGCUGAGGGGGGAGGAAGUGUCCUGGUCAGAGGCAGGUGCGCAUGUGGCGUGCGGCCCGCGGAGCCUUCGCGAGUCCGGGUCCUCCGUUCACCAGAGUCCCACUGAGUGUGAGCGGCUCGUCCUGUCUGGCCGCCGCCCUCCCCCCGCCUCCCUCACACCCUCCGCUCCUGCUGUCCUUCCAACGUUGAGGUGCAGGGAGGCCUCCGGGGACCAGCCGCCAGGUGGCCCCGGCCUGUCCCGACUCCCAGCGGGGCCGGCCUCACACCUGAGGUUGGAGCGAGGGCAGUGUGGCCACGUCCCCCUGGGACAGGUCUGAGCCUGGGAGCUCACGCUUCCCCAAACCAGUGCAGGGCUGAGCGGGGCCACCUGCCCGACCCCAUCCCAGCACUCGCCCUCAGGUGACUCUGGUCCCCGACCCCAUCCCAGGACUCGCCCGCGGGUGACUCUGGUCCCCGACCCCAUCCCAGGACUCGCCCUCGGGUGACUCUGGUCCCCGUGCCCUCCGUCCAUCUCCGCUUCCCCCGGGUCAGUGGGUGCUGCGUGGGCCGGGCUCUGUCGCUGUAAACGCCGGGUGGGGGGCCGAGCGGGCAGCAGGCCGCUGGAGCUGAAUGUACUUGAUGCACCUUCGCGUGGCCUUCCGACCCGAGUGGGCGAGUGGUUUGAUGGUGGGUGUUGCCUAAUGUCACUGAGUUCCUGUGUGGGAGUGACUCACUCUGUGUGGCGCCUGCGCACAGCGGUCUUUACAAACAGCCAAUAAACGUGUUUCAACUUGA